GAUUCAUGCAAGUCGAGCGGUCACCAUUCUGCAGCAAUGUGGGGUGGUGAUAGCGGCGCACGGGUGAGUAACGCGUGGAUUACCUACCCUGAAGACCGGGAUAAUCCCGCGAAAGCGGGACUAAUACUGGAUGUGAUUUUUCGGAAAUUUUCUGAAAAAUUAAAGCUGGGGACCGAAAGGCCUAGCGCUUUAGGAUGGGUCCGCGUCCUAUCAGCUAGUUGGCGGGGUAAAAGCCCACCAAGGCUAAGACGGGUAGCUGGUCUGAGAGGACGACCAGCCACACUGGAACUGAGACACGGUCCAGACACCUACGGGUGGCAGCAGUCGAGAAUUUUUCACAAUGGGCGAAAGCCUGAUGGAGCGACGCCGCGUGGGGGAUGAAGGGCUUCGGCCUGUAAACCCCUGUCAGCCGUGACCAAAGUUUCUUGCUUAACAAGUGAGAGAUUUGAUGGUAGCGGCAGAGGAAGGGACGGCUAACUCUGUGCCAGCAGCCGCGGUAAGACAGAGGUCCCAAGCGUUGUUCGGAUUCACUGGGCGUAAAGGGUGCGUAGGCGGUAGGGUAAGUCCGACGUGAAAUCUCGCGGCUUAACCGCGAAAUUGCGUUGGAAACUAUCCUGCUUGAGGGUUGGAGAGGGGACUGGAAUUCUCGGUGUAGCAGUGAAAUGCGUAGAUAUCGAGAAGAACACCGGUGGCGAAGGCGAGUCCCUGGACAACUCCUGACGCUGAGGCACGAAAGCUAGGGGAGCAAACAGGAUUAGAUACCCUGGUAGUCCUAGCCGUAAACGGUGCACGUUUGCUAUGAGUGGAAUCGACCCCACUCGUGGCGAAGCUAACGCGUUAAACGUGCCGCCUGGGGAGUACGGCCGCAAGGUUAAAACUCAAAGAAAUUGACGGGGGCCUGCACAAGCGGUGGAGUAUGUGGCUUAAUUCGAUGCAACGCGAAGAACCUUACCUGGUCUUGACAUGCACGUGGUAAAAGCCUGAAAGGGUGACGACCCCGCAAGGGGAACGUGCACAGGUGCUGCAUGGCUGUCGUCAGCUCCUGUCCUGAGAAGUUGGGUUAAUUCCGGCACCAGGGCA
rnacentral:rRNA from 1 species